CUAAUGCACAUUCAAAUUUUGGAAACUUUGUUUUCCAGAAAAGGUGCGCAUAGAUUCGACUAAAUAUGGUAUUUUUUCUGCCAUAAAUAUGGUGUCUUACAUAAAAGAUUAUUUAGGUUAUCACAGCAAGCUACCUUGAAAAGUAAAUUUAUUUAUACUAUAAGUAGAUAGGAGCCAUCCAAACACCCAUAAAACCCUCUAUUAUAUUAAUUUUAUCAAUGUUUAAAAGGAACACUCUAAGCACAAAAACUACUUCAUUGCUUAAUGAAGCAAUUUUAGUGCAAAUACCAUGCUUCUGCAGUCUCACAGCUCAAUUCUCUACCAUUUAGGAAUUAAAUCACUUUUGUUUCUGUUUACGCAGUCCUAGCCACACCUCCUCUGGCUGUAACUCGCACAGCCUACAUUGGAAAAAAAAUGGUACUUCUCCGUAAAAGAUUAAGAAACACUGGUGUACAGCAAUGCAGUGUGACACUGAAACACUGCUUGUCUUAGUAGCCUCACUGACUGUUGCACUUUUUGGAUGAUGACACAAAAAUAUAUUUUUAACUCAUUCUUUUUCAUCUAAUUUUAUGGUUCAUUCAACUGAAUUUCUCAGGUUCAAAGUAAAAGUUGGAGCAGAUUUAGAAGACGACAAGAGAAGAUGUAAGCUCAUCAGAAGCAUGAUUGGUCCUGACAACCAAAUGGUAAAUAUGAAUGUAACAAGAUCAAAAAUGUCUCUCUCUCAGACUGUCAAUGGUGAUUAAAUGUUUUCUGUUCCAUCUGUUUUAAACGAUGCUUUGUAAGUCAAAAAAACUAAAUGAACAGGAUGAGAGAUGGUUGGCCUUAGCAUUCUUCCUUUUUGCUUGGGUGUGAUGUAGAUGCCCAUUGGAUUGUGCUAUUUGGUGUAAUUGGCCUUUUUUCCAUUUUGCUGUUGCAUAUUCUACAUCUGUGGAGGAAAAGGUAUAUGCACUGGUAUUUCUGUUUUAGCUACCAAUCUCAAAAUGCUAAGUUUCACACCCUACUGAAAUCUGCUAAACGCAGUAUCCUUCAUAGUUUUCAAGCUGUUUAUUUACCCUUCUGAAUAUAGUAAUCAAUCACAUAGAAAGUUAAUUAAUACUAUUUAUUAAAUAACCAAAAUUAAUAAUUGUCAUAUGUAAUCAUGUAUCCAGCUACUAUCAAUUUAGAACUAAUCAUAGUAGAACUAAACACACAUGUUAUUUUUUUUAUGAAGUAUUAGACUUUAUAAGUACUCGCUCUAUUUUAGAUGCUUGAUGCAAACCAGAGAUGGGAUGUGAAUGAAGCAGUCCAAUGUGUGUCUGAGUUGGCUUCAUUUAAACCUUUAUGGAUUGAGGAACCAACAUCACCAGAUGACAUCCUUGGUCAUGCAACAAUCUCAAAGGUAGAUCCUAGUACAGGCAUAGGCAACCUUUGGCACUGCAGAUGUUUUGAACUACACCUCCCAAGAUGCUUUGCCAGCAUUAUGGGUGUAAGAGCAUUAUGGGAGAUGUAGUCCACAACAUCUGGAGUGCCGAAGGUUGCCUACCCGUGUCCUAGUUAGUUAAUUUCCAAUUAUGCUAAUUGCGAUUUUGGUAAGUAUUAAUUUUCUUUAUAUAAUUGCAAGUGACAUUUCUUUAUUCAAUCACCUCAGUAAAUGGCAUGGAAAUAAGUAUCAGUAUGAAUAUUCCAGUGUAGGCAAGUUAAAAACAUGUCAUUGCCCCAUGGUACUAAAAACUCACUUAUGUAUUCCUAACCCUAUAGUGUUAAAACCACCAUCUAGUCCACCUGCCCCCUCCCCCAUUGCUUCCCUAAAUAUAGUAAAA
rnacentral:lncRNA from 1 species